CCUGGCCCCCAGAAUCCAGCCUGCACCUUCUGGGGUGCGCCGCAGGGCCUUUGCAGCCUCGGGCCAGGUCCUACCUCUCUUCUUGGCGCUCAUGGUGUUUCAGCCUUUCUCAGGUCUCCAACAAGCUCAAGUCACUCCCAUGUAAAAAAUGAAAAUCCUGAAAACUGUCCAAAUGCCCAUCAAUGAAUAAUGGAAUUACUACACAGCAAAAAGAAUGAAAAAUAUACAACUACAUGCAACAAUACGGAUGAAUCUAACAGACAUAAUGUUGAGCGAAAGCAGCAAGGCACAAAAGAGGACAUAGGUAUCAUUCCCUAGAUAAUAAACUUCAAAAGCAAAACUAA